UUUCUGAUUCGAAGACCAGGAUGCUCCUCCACCGUUCAAGUGUGGUUGCUCCGUUUCUAAGAGGCCAGGAACGUCCGACGCGGUGGGAGUGGAUAUGCUCCUACUCAAUUCACAGGCGAUCAUGAUGUCGGGGCACCGUGAAUGUCAACCGUAAAACAUUGAGAGAGUACAUGUCGUCUAAGGGCCAUAUACCAAAAGCGUAAGGCAUUGUUUUAAAAAGUUGGUUGAGUCCACCAAAACUCUCGCAUCAGCAUGUAUGUAUAGACCAUGUUUCCUGUUAGUUUUUUUUAAUUCAAUAUUAAAGUUUAAUAAGCUCACUUUGUUGAAAACCAAGGCUCAAGAAAUGCUGAAGAACAAUGAGAUUACCAACCCGGUUGCUACCAUGAAUUUAGAUUUGGGUUGUGGCCACAGCUUGGAUUGGUUUCCUCUCAUAUUCAUCAUCAAAUUGCUUUCUGCAGUCUCCAAGUCAAAUAUUCCUAAGAGGAAGAAGAUAUACAGCCGUAAAAAAAGAACCAAGCAUUGGAUAUCGACGAGCCAAACGCCACCAUCCUCACCAUUAAAACAAUAUAAACUAUAGCUUCAGGAGACCGGAAAGGUGGUUUCUAUUUACCUUUUUGGGCUCUAAAGACUUAUUACAGUUAUUAGUUUUUGCUGAAGAAGAUGAGCAGAGUUGUUCUUAAACUCAUGUUUAUAGCGUUAAACUCACUUCAAGCACUGAAAUUCAUUCAUCCAUCGCCAUUCGCUUCACCUUUCUUGCGAAGUUCAUUGAAAUUACCACCCCACCUACUACAAUUUUCACAGAGCUCUUUAGGUUCCAAAACUUCGGACAUCUGACGUCAUUGGCAAAGACAAAUACUCAGUUUCCAGACAUCAGCCUCAUCAAGACAACCCUCAAUGACGAUGCCCAGACAACUCCCUUAUAGCCAUUUAUUUUCCGUCGAGGAAGGUUCACAAUCUUUUGCUACUGUGGCAUAAUCCAGGUGCUUCGAAAUUAUAUGAUUAUAUUUUCAAUGCGACUGCUUGAUUCUAUGAUUUCUUUCAUUUUGGAAUAACAAACCUUCUUAGUCAGUGUUAGAUUUGAAAGCCCGAUCACUUUUUUUUGUUUGGUUUUGUGUUCAUAAGUUGAAAACCGUAAGAACUACGCUUCAAAUGAUUCAAAACCAUAAACAAGUGACAAAGAUGAAUUAAGUAACAUCAAUGGGUCAGAGCGAGAACGAUAAGAACAAUCAGCGGACGACAGAAAGUAAAACCAGGAAGAAACCAAGACUCUAGAUUCUGCAAAGCUUGAAAAGAGAUUACAGAUCAACACACAAGUCCUGAUUUUGGUUUACAAGGUCAUCAACAGCACGCUAAUCCCAUGACAUCUGUAAGGAAGAUACAAGGAGACCAGAAAGCCUCAAGAGGAACAAUCACUCACUAGAUGAAUCAAGAGCACAAAUUGGUAGAGAUAUUCUUAAGUAACGACAUGAUUAUCGUCCAUCAAUGUCUGCUUUCAGUUACUCCUCUUUCACAAUUUUCUUAAUUUAUGUAAGAAUGAAUAGCUAUACAAAUAUAUUCUCUUAUAAAUAAUUGAAAUCCAAGAAUAAAAAAAAAAUUAUUAGAGGUUUAAUCAGUUGUGAAAUUAACAAAUAUUUUAAUUAAAAUUAAUUAAGUAUGAUAAAAAUGAUUAGAUCAUAAUUCUUCUCUGUUUCAGAUAAAUAUUUUUUUUGGAAAAACCAGUUAAACAAGAAAAAUCUGCUAUAUUUACAUAGAUAUAUUUAAUAUUUUAUAUAAAAGAAUACAAAGAUCCACAAGUUGAAGUUGAACACAAUUAAUAUAUUUACAUAUCUUUGACAAACAUUUUAUUUUCUAAAAUGCCACGGAAAAUAUCUUAAACUUCUAUAAUUUUUAUUAAAAUAUAAAAUAUAUAUUAGAUACUCACAUUUAAAAAUAUUAUUAAAAUUACUUAAAAUAAAUAAUAUUAGAAAAUUUCCAAAGCUGUGUCCCUCUAUUUUAUUUUUAGUCGUUUUUCAAUUUAUUUGUUCAAUAUUAUGCAAAAAUAUUCAUAAUAUUAAUAUAUUAAAAUAAACUGAUAAAAUAAUUUAUAUCAUAUAACCUAAAGAUAAAGGAAAACAUGUUAGGAUCUUCUGUAAAUUAAUUACUUAAGUAAUUUAAAUCUGUUACUUAAUUAUAUUA